rnacentral:tRNA from 1 species
GCAGAUAUAAGUUAACGGUAGACUACGUGCCUUCCAAGCAUUUUGUGCUCGUUCGAAUCGAGUUAUCUGCA